UACGUAGGGCGCAAGCGUUAUCCGGAAUUAUUGGGCGUAAAGGGCUCGUAGGCGGUUUGUCACGUCGGGAGUGAAAACUCAGGGCUCAACCCUGAGCGUGCUUCCGAUACGGGCAGACUAGAGGUAUGCAGAGGAGAACGGAAUUCCUGGUGUAGCGGUGGAAUGCGCAGAUAUCAGGAGGAACACCGGUGGCGAAGGCGGUUCUCUGGGCAUUACCUGACGCUGAGGAGCGAAAGCAUGGGGAGCGAACAGG
rnacentral:rRNA from 1 species